AGCACACUGGAACGCCUCGAACCACUCCCAACCAGCCAAUCAGCUCCCGCCACGCCCGUCACGUGACCCGCCGACCAAUGGGGCGUCGAGUUUGUAUCCUUGUGGCGGCCGAGGAAGAGACGGGAAGCCAUUUCUCCGCUAGCGUUGACGGGAGAGGUUCAGGGAGAUUACGGUGCAACGUGCGAGGGAGGCGUCCGUUGAUGAAUCCAGAUGCAUGUAUGUCUCACCUGUGCAUACGGCCCGGCAGGAGAAGGAGAAAGUGACGCAGGUGAACACAAACAGCUGGGGGCAGCGCCUGAGUGGUCAACACGUGGAUGUGGUGAUCCUGAGGAGCUGUUACAAAGGCAAUCCCACGCCUACUACUGGACUGGACUGGGUUUGAGUCCCACUGCAAAACGCUGACAGUUUUCAACCACUACCGUGAGGAAAUGGUAGCCACACAUGCUGUGCAAAUCUUCGGUCAACCCUAACUUCAGCGACUUGGGUGUAGCAGCACGGCGUCAAAAGGAGGCCGAGACCAAAACACUGCAGAUCCAGAUGUUGGUGGCAGGCAAUGGACCAGCGCUGCAUCAAGGGGGUGAAGACUUCCACGACCGGCAUUACAUCCGCAGACCUGUCUCUGGAGCCAGGAUGUCACAGUUGGAGGCGGUCUUUGUGUAGUCUAUGAUCAGUUGUCCAAGUGUGGUGAAAGAGUUAUGUGGAUCUAUUUUGCCUCUUAUUUUUGUAGUUAUCGCUGCUCCUGCUGCUUCACUGGCGAAUUACACAACACGAUAAUGACAAAAACAGAGGCACAACAGUUUCAUUUAGUAAUUCUUUCACCUGUUCUUGAUGACUGUUUGUGGAUGAUGAAGACUGCCUCCAACUGUGACAUCUUUGUUUGUGGAUGAUGAAGACUGCCUCCAACUGUGACAUCUUCAAGGCUCCAGAGACAGGGUUCCAGAUUGAUGUCCCUGACGGCCCGGGAGGGAAGCAAAGAGAAUGUAUUGAAAUGUUUUGUGAUGAGCGGUCAGACUUGUUGACUAGCAGUGUCGCUGGUUGAUGAGCAGUUUCACAUGAAAGUCCAAGGGACU